AUACGGUGUGCUAUUAUGGGAAAUUAUGACUCAUGGUGACACUCCAUACCCUUUUGUUAAAACCUACCUUGGAAUGCUUCGCGUUUUGAACGGAAAUUGUCGUUUGGAAAAGCCUCCAAACACAUCUCCAGAUGUGUACAAUUUAAUGUUGGAUUGUUGGAAAUAUGAAUCUGGGCGACGUCCAAAUUUCUCAACUAUUGUUGAACGCAUAACAGAAUUAUUACAUAAUGUUGAGAUGCCCAACGAGUUGUCUGAUGAAUCUGAUUUAAGAAGCAUAACUUCUACAGCAAGCUCUACUGAAUCGGACAAAUUGAUUACAAAGUGCUCGCCCGAAGAUAACAGUUAUCUUUUAACUUUAAGUUAAUGUUAGAAUAAUACCAAACUAUUUAGAUAAAAAUGUUAGUUUCAAGAUAAGUAAGUACCUAUUAAAAUUUUAUUACAGACAUUUACCUAGUCAUUUUUUUACUAUUUCUCAUAUCAAUUAAUGUUGCAAAUCAUCACCAAUUCGGCCGAAAUUUUUUUGUGAACUACCUACGUCUAAAGGAAAACAAUGAGCGGGCGACACG